UGCGGGGUGGAGUAGUAGGUGAACUCAUCGGACUCAUAAUUCGAAGAUCGUAGGUUCGAAUCCUACCCCCGCUA
rnacentral:tRNA from 2 species